rnacentral:sRNA from 1 species
GUUAUGAUGGACAUGGUUUUGGAUUAUGGUGCUGAUGUGUGGGCUUUUGGCUGUACCGUGCUUGAGAUGUUGACUGGAGAAAGAGUUUGGAGUGAGUUUGGUAAGCUUGAUUGGGAAGGCUGGAAG